AGAUCACCUGAGUAGAGAUGGGAAAUCGAAACUAGUGGGGAAGGGGAGGGCCCACUGAGAACCAUCCCAGCAACCCGACCACAGCUGGCCUUCCCUGGACAGCAUGAACCACACUGUCCAAACCUUCUUCACUCCUGCCAACACCGACCGUACCCCCAACUAUGAGAUGCUGAAGGAGGAGCAUGAGGUGGCUGUGCUGGGGGCACCCCAUAACCCUGCUCCCCCGA